AACGAACGCUGGCGGCAUGCCUAACACAUGCAAGUCGAACGAGACCUUCGGGUCUAGUGGCGCACGGGUGCGUAACGCGUGGGAACCUGCCCUUAGGUUCGGUAUACCUCCCCGAAAGGGGUGCUAAUACCGGAUAAUGUCUUCGGACCAAAGAUUUAUCGCCUUUGGAUGGGCGAGCGUCGGAUUAGCUAGUUGGUAGGGUAAAAGCCUACCAAGGCGACGAUCCAUAGCUGGUCUGAGAGGAUGAUCAGCCACACUGGGACUGAGACACAGCCCAGACUCCUACGGGAGGCAGCAGUAGAGAAUAUUGGGCGAUGGGCGAAAGCCUGAUCCAGCAAUGCCGCGUAAGAGAUGAAGGCCUUAGGGUUGUAAAGCUCUUUUACCCGGGAUGUUACUGACAGUACCGGGAUAAUAAGCUCCGGCUAACUCCGUG
rnacentral:rRNA from 1 species